rnacentral:rRNA from 1 species
GAUGAACGCUGGCGGCGUGCCUAAUACAUGCAAGUCGAGCGAACAGAUGAGGAGCUUGCUCCUCUGACGUUAGCGGCGGACGGGUGAGUAACACGUGGAUAACCUACCUAUAAGACUGGGAUAACUUCGGGAAACCGGAGCUAAUACCGGAUAAUAUAUUGAACCGCAUGGUUCAAUAGUGAAAGACGGUUUUGCUGUCACUUAUAGAUGGAUCCGCGCCGCAUUAGCUAGUUGGUAAGGUAACGGCUUACCAAGGCAACGAUGCGUAGCCGACCUGAGAGGGUGAUCGGCCACACUGGAACUGAGACACGGUCCAGACUCCUACGGGAGGCAGCAGUAGGGAAUCUUCCGCAAGGGGCGAAAGCCUGACGGAGCAACGCCGCGUGAGUGAUGAAGGUCUUCGGAUCGUAAAACUCUGUUAUUAGGGAAGAACAAAUGUGUAAGUAACGAUGCACGUCUGGACGGUACCUAAUCAGAAAGCCACGGCUAACUACGU